UGUAGUCAUAUGCUUGUCUCAAAGAUUAAGCCAUGCAUGUCUAAGAGUAACCCCAGUACGGGGAAGUCUGCGAAUGGCUCAUUAAAUCGGUUAUAGUCUAUUUGAAUGUGGCUUGUUACACGGAUAACUGCGGCAAUUCUGGAGCUAAUACGUGCUAAAUCCCCCAACUUCGCGGAAGGGGGGCUUGUGUUAGAUUGAUGACCGGCUUCCGGUUGAUUCAUAACAUCCAUCGUGGACCGCACGGCCUCGAGCUGGCGGCGUUGCAUUUGAAUUUCCGAUCUAUCAACUUGACGGUAGGGUAGUGGCCUACCGUGGUGACAACGGGUAACGGGGAAUGGGGCGGGG
rnacentral:rRNA from 1 species